CCUACGGGUGGCUGCAGUGGGGAAUAUUGGACAAUGGGGGCAACCCUGAUCCAGCCAUGCCGCGUGUGUGAAGAAGGCCCUCGGGUUGUAAAGCACUUUCAGUGAGGAAGAACGCCUGGUGGUUAAUACCCAUCAGGAAAGACAUCACUCACAGAAGAAGCACCGGCUAACUCCGUGCUAGCAGCCGCGGUAAUACGGAGGGUGCGAGCGUUAAUCGGAAUUACUGGGCGUAAAGCGCGCGUAGGUGGCUUGAUAAGCCGGUUGUGAAAGCCCCGGGCUCAACCUGGGAACGGCAUCCGGAACUGUCAAGCUAGAGUGCAGGAGAGGAAGGUAGAAUUCCCGGUGUAGCGGUGAAAUGCGUAGAGAUCGGGAGGAAUACCAGUGGCGAAGGCGGCCUUCUGGACUGACACUGACACUGAGGUGCGAAAGCGUGGGUAGCAAACAGGAUUAGAUACCCCAGUAGUC
rnacentral:rRNA from 1 species